AGCAGCCGCGGUAAUUCCAGCUCCAAUAGCGUAUAUUAAAGUUGUUGCAGUUAAAAAGCUCGUAGUUGAAUUUCGGGAUCAAGGGAUCGGUCAUGCCUUGGUAUGUACUGGUCUUAUUGGUUCUCACCUUCUAAAGAACCAUGAUGUCAUUUAUUUGAUGUUAUGGGGAAUUAGGACUGUUACCUUGAAAAAUUAGAGUGUUUAAAGCAAGCUUACGCUUGAAUACAUUAGCAUGGAAUAAUGAAAUAGGACAUCAGAUUCUAUUUUGUUGGUUUCUAGGAUCGAUGUAAUGAUUAAUAGGGAUAGUUGGGGGCAUUAGUAUUCAAUUGUCAGAGGUGAAAUUCUUGGAUUUAUUGAAGACUAACUACUGCGAAAGCAUUUGCCAAGGAUGUUUUCAUUAAUCAAGAACGAAAGUUAGGGGAUCGAAGACGAUCAGAUACCGUCGUAGUCUUAACCAUAAACUAUGCCGACUAGGG
rnacentral:rRNA from 1 species